GGAGGGCAGGGGCCCCGGCGAGGUGCUCGGUGAGUGUCCAAGGGACUGUGACAGAACGUGAGUCAAACUGGAGACCACAAAGAUCCUGCUCUUUUUGUCCCUUCGACCCAGAGUCCGUGGCUGAGCGGCCGUGGGACGCAGAGACAAUGGGUGUGAGUUACAGGGUUUAUAGAGGAGGCUUGUUCAAAUCCCAGCUCUGCCUCUUGCCAGCUGCGUGCCUCUGGGAAGCUGCUUAACAUCUCUGAGCCUUCAUGUCCUUAUCUGCGAACGGAGGACAGCAACACCUAUCUUGUUUGACCUGAUACACAGAGAGCUUUUAGCGCGGUGUUUGGUACACAUUCACCUACUUGUAAGAAGUAAGACGUGGUGGAGCCAGCAGUUCUUACCUCACAGGAUUGUGUGAAAAGUGAAGGAGAUCUUGAGUGCUCCCUAAUGUCAACUACGAGUAUUCUCUGGUCAUAUUCUCUUUCAGGAACAGAUCACAUUCUAUGUAUCUUUUCAUUGACUGGUGGAUAUUGAGGCUGUUUGCAGUAUGAUGCGAAUCCAGCAGGGCCCUGAGCCUCCUUUUUGACCUUGUGACAUUGUUAGCUUGUGUUCCCGGCCGUGUGUGUGGCUGUGGACAGUGUUGCCAGAUGUUGAUACGUGAUUCUCCAAAGCAUCACAGAGAAACUUAUUCUUACUCUCCACCCCUCCCUUCCGUUUCAGAAGUAACAUCUGUAAUACAUCCCAGCUCUUCACCCAGCCUGGGAGACCCGGGGCGAGCUGGCCGUCACCCGCCCCUGCCUCUGCUCUCUGCCUUGGCCACUCUGCUCUUGGAACAGCCAACCCCUCUCCAGCCCCUAGACCUUGUGCUGACUGGUCCUCACCCGCGCCGCCCUUCUGGGGCUAUUCUUCCCCGCCCCUGGGCUGGCCGGGACUACUGCCCUGUGCCGCGGCGGCCACCCGAUUUCUAACUUUAUUUUAUUUAAUUAAUUUAUUUAGUUUAUUUUGA